rnacentral:rRNA from 1 species
CGGCGAGUGAAGAGGGAAGAGCUCAAAUUUGAAAGCUGGUACCUUCGGUAUCCGCGUUGUAACCUCGAGACACGUUUUCCGUGCGGCGCUAUGGACAAGUUCCUUGGAACAGGACAUCGUAGAGGGUGAAAAUCCCGUACUUGCCAUGGAUGUACCGUGCUUUGCGAUACGUGCUCUAAGAGUCGAGUUGUUUGGGAUUGCAGCUCAAAAUGGGUGGUAGACUCCAUCUAAAGCUAAAUAUCGGGGAGAGACCGAUAGCGAACAAGUACCGUGAGGGAAAGAUGAAAAGCACUUUGGAAAGAGAGUUAAAAGUACGUGAAAUUGUCGAAAGGGAAGCGCUUGAAGUCAGCCAUGCCGCUCAGGACUCAGCCUGGCUUUUGCUUGGUGUAUUUCCUGGGUAGCAAGUCAGCAUUGGUUUGGAUCGUCGGAGAAGCAUAGUCGGAAUGUGGCGCCCUCGGGCGUGUUAUAGCCUUCUAUUGGAUACGACGAUCUAGACCAAGGAACGCAGCGCGCCUUAUGGCGGGUCUUCGGACACCUUCGCGCUUAGGAUGCUGGCGUAAUGGCUUUAAGUGGCCCGUCUUGAAACACGGA